GCAGGAGGCAACGGUUGCAGGGGCAGGCUCCCUGUAUGACUGCAAGCAGCCUUCAUGGCAGAACCGCAGCCCGAAGACGGUAUUGUGGUGUGAAUCGACUCCAAGUCUCGACUGAGAAGCCGUGCCUUGAUGGGUCGUGUGUUUAUCGAACCGAGUGAGGCGGGGAACCGAGCAACUCUAAGGUAAGUAUGCGAUGCUCUCAAGAAACAUGGUGGAGAAGAGGCUCUGGGCAAAGCCGGUUCGCAUUGCAAUAUCAACUGACGGCGUCCUCCUGC
rnacentral:SRP_RNA from 1 species